UACGGGGGGUGCGAGCGUUGUCCGGAAUCACUGGGCGUACAGGGCGCGUAGGUGGUUUGAUAAGGGUGUGGUGAAAGCCCGGGGCUCAACCCCGGGUCUGCCGUGCCGACUGUCAAACUCGAGGGCUGUAGAGGCAGACGGAAUUCCGGGUGUAGCGGUGGAAUGCGUAGAGAUCCGGAGGAAGACCGGUGGCGAAGGCGGUCUGCUGGGCAGUUUCUGACACUGAUGCGCGACAGCGUGGGGAGCAAACAGG
rnacentral:rRNA from 1 species